AAAUAACUUUGAGUGGAAAAAAAAGAAAUCUGGGCUGGUGAUUAGAAUUCAGGUAGGAAUUCAAGGGUGGUUGGAGAGUCAGGUUAGGAAAGAGUAAAGAAAUCUAUUUCAAGCCUGGUUAUAUCAUUGGCAGUGUCAGGAACAAGAAAGAACAUUAUUUUUAGAUAAAAGGCCUACUUUUAUCUUGGCAGUCCAUCUAUUUUUAUACCUACAUCUCGUUUUUUUCUUUUUUCUUCUUCUAAUACUAGAAAUGACAUGUCUAUCAAGUUUUGGAGCUAAUAUAUUUUAAAGUAAUUAUUCUCUGAUUAGAUCAUGUAGAUUUCAAAUAUGCUAAAGACUGAGGAAAAUUGCCCUUGUGUCUUUGAAAUGUCCCAUUGGGAAUUGAAGCUCUACUUACCGUAAGGUGCUAAACAGACAAGAGAGCAAACAUAUGUGUUCUGAAUCCUCUCUCUGUUACCACUGACAACUUCCAGGUCUCCCUGCUGGAUUUGCUAGACAAAGUAGUUUCAGUUUUAAUAUAUAUUACAAAAAGUUAAAAAGAGUUUGUGAUCUGUCUGUUAAUCUGUUUGAAAG